GUCGCUUUUUUAAAUAGAUAUUAUAUUUUAUAUUAAAUACUCUUGGUUAUUGGGACAUGUUUCCAUGACUACUGUGGUUAGUAAACUAAUGUUUAAAUAAGAAAAAGACAUUUGAAUUAUAAAAAUGCUUUUUAAAAAGCAGCUUAUCUUUUUCAACCUAUAUUCAGCAGAAAAAUAAAACUGUAUGUAUGGCACUUUCUGAAACGGCCCUAUUCAAAACUUGGUAGACAUAAUUUGCAAAGUUCAAGAAAUAUGUAACAAUAAAAGAAUAUGAGCCAUUUCCUAUUUCCUAUCCUUAUAAAUUCAAUGUAUGUAAGGUUUGGGGGAAGUCUAAACACAACUUUUGUAAUAUUCAUUAAGCAAGAAAAAACUGAAAGUUUAACAAAAAUAACCUGUUCAUUUAUGGCAAAUCAAAACUAAAAUGCUAUUAUAGCAUUUUUCAUGUUUUGUCUAAAAACUUAUUUUUAAGAAAAGCAACCCCUUUAUAUACUGUGGAUACCAAUAAUCAUGGAUUUCAUGGGUACACAUGAACAUUUAAAUUAAAUGUUCAACAAAUGACAUAUUUUAUAUAGGCUUGUACAAAGACUUUUGCAUAACCAAGAAAUUAAAUUUUAUGAACAUGCAAGUUUCUUAAUCCACGAAAAUUGGUACCCACGAAAAUUAAGGAAUCCACAGCAUUGCAAAUUUAUAUUCAUAAACUUCAUAAACUUGUGUUUAAACAAACCUAUCAUUUCAAAAUAAUGGUACACAGUUAUAACAGUCAUGGCAGAUUGUGGCUAAAAUACAUGAAAUAUGUCGAUCACCAAAGGCUUGUCAAUAUGUAUCCCACUUAUUACAGUUAAUAUUUAUUCAAAUUGUUUUGAAAGUGUUAAAAAAAAACGGUGAUAUGUCUUUUUUUUAAUCAAAGUUAAAAGUUCAUAUUGAAUUCAAGUUGAUCAAAAUUGACAAAAAAGAUACUGGGAACUUUUUUUUAAAAUUGAACAAUAUUAAUUUGAACUACUAAUUAGUUUUUGAAUAAAUGUAGCUUCUGCUUAAACAUGUAUUAGUUCCCACAAGGGGUCAACUCUUUCUGUAUUAAUGGUAACAUUUUUGGGAACCAUUAUGUAAGAUAAAAACUUAAUUAAAGCACUGACCAUUCUGAGGCAGCAUGGGGAUUUAAAAAACAAUAAAUUCUUUGGUUCUAAAUUUUGAAAAAGAAAAAGUUAAAGAAGGUAUGAGAUUUUUUUUAAGUGAA
rnacentral:lncRNA from 1 species